AAUUUAGUGGCGACGACGAUUGUGGGACUAGGAAGGGGUAGAACUUGAGGGCAAGGUGCCUUUAGGGGUGGAGCCUAGACUUCACCUUCAAGGAUGCAAGAGCCAAAGAUUUUAGAGUGUCAACUGGGAGUGCAAAGAGGGGGUGAGUGAUCUAACACAAAGCGACAACAUCGGCUGAGGAGAGCAGUGGAAAGCACAGCACGAGGAUAUGGUCGUUAAGCACUGUGACGUCACCAAUGACGUUGGGCAAGGUCAGGAGCGGCCGGCGCCGCCUCAGUGUCGGGCUGACAGCCAGCAGACGUAGUUCCUUAGGCGGUGUCCCGCUUCUUACAUCAUUUGCAGCUGCACCGGUCAUCAGGUGGGUGUGGAUUUGUGAUGUAAUUCGCGGAACCAAUUUCAUCUGAAUUACUUUGGUUAAGACCGGGUAUUUGGGUCUGGCUCGACAAUGGCCACUAGUCUUCUUGAGAAAUAACUUAAAGUGAACGGAGGACUAGUCAGUCACACAAGGAACGGAAAUAGUUCAGACGUGACGUAGCUGCAAGUCUCGAUAGAGGUGGUUGGACGGUGUUGAACACGGGGCGACUGACAACGUUGCAGGAGUAUCUGAAAGAAAA